rfam:Salmo salar isolate Sally breed double haploid chromosome ssa20, whole genome shotgun sequence.
UGGCUCAGUUGGUAGAGCAUGGUGUUUGCAAUGCCAGGGUUGUGGGUUCGAUUCCCAU